rnacentral:rRNA from 1 species
AAAUUGAAGAGUUUGAUCAUGGCUCAGAUUGAACGCUGGUGGCAGGCCUAACACAUGCAAGUCGAACGGUAACAGGAAGCAGCUUGCUGCUUUGCUGACGAGUGGCGGACGGGUGAGUAAUGUCUGGGAAACUGCCUGAUGGAGGGGGAUAACUACUGGAAACGGUGGCUAAUACCGCAUAAUGUCGCAAGACCAAAGAGGGGGACCUUCGGGCCUCUUGCCAUCAGAUGUGCCCAGAUGGGAUUAGCUUGUUGGUGAGGUAACGGCUCACCAAGGCGACGAUCCCUAGCUGGUCUGAGAGGAUGACCAGCCACACUGGAACUGAGACACGGUCCAGACUCCUACGGGAGGCAGCAGUGGGGAAUAUUGCACAAUGGGCGCAAGCCUGAUGCAGCCAUGCCGCGUGUAUGAAGAAGGCCUUCGGGUUGUAAAGUACUUUCAGCGGGGAGGAAGGUGUUGUGGUUAAUAACCGCAGCAAUUGACGUUACCCGCAGAAGAAGCACCGGCUAACUCCGUGCCAGCAGCCGCGGUAAUACGGAGGGUGCAAGCGUUAAUCGGAAUUACUGGGCGUAAAGCGCACGCAGGCGGUCUGUCAAGUCGGAUGUGAAAUCCCCGGGCUCAACCUGGGAACUGCAUUCGAAACUGGCAGGCUUGAGUCUUGUAGAGGGGGGUAGAAUUCCAGGUGUAGCGGUGAAAUGCGUAGAGAUCUGGAGGAAUACCGGUGGCGAAGGCGGCCCCCUGGACAAAGACUGACGCUCAGGUGCGAAAGCGUGGGGAGCAAACAGGAUUAGAUACCCUGGUAGUCCACGCCGUAAACGAUGUCUACUUGGAGGUUGUGCCCUUGAGGCGUGGCUUCCGGAGCUAACGCGUUAAGUAGACCGCCUGGGGAGUACGGCCGCAAGGUUAAAACUCAAAUGAAUUGACGGGGGCCCGCACAAGCGGUGGAGCAUGUGGUUUAAUUCGAUGCAACGCGAAGAACCUUACCUGGUCUUGACAUCCACGGAAGUUUUCAGAGAUGAGAAUGUGCCUUCGGGAACCGUGAGACAGGUGCUGCAUGGCUGUCGUCAGCUCGUGUUGUGAAAUGUUGGGUUAAGUCCCGCAACGAGCGCAACCCUUAUCCUUUGUUGCCAGCGGUCCGGCCGGGAACUCAAAGGAGACUGCCAGUGAUAAACUGGAGGAAGGUGGGGAUGACGUCAAGUCAUCAUGGCCCUUACGACCAGGGCUACACACGUGCUACAAUGGCGCAUACAAAGAGAAGCGACCUCGCGAGAGCAAGCGGACCUCAUAAAGUGCGUCGUAGUCCGGAUUGGAGUCUGCAACUCGACUCCAUGAAGUCGGAAUCGCUAGUAAUCGUGGAUCAGAAUGCCACGGUGAAUACGUUCCCGGGCCUUGUACACACCGCCCGUCACACCAUGGGAGUGGGUUGCAAAAGAAGUAGGUAGCUUAACCUUCGGGAGGGCGCUUACCACUUUGUGAUUCAUGACUGGGGUGAAGUCGUAACAAGGUAACCGUAGGGGAACCUGCGGUUGGAUCACCUCCUUA